rnacentral:rRNA from 1 species
UACGUAGGGUCCGAGCGUUGUCCGGAAUUAUUGGGCGUAAAGAGCUCGUAGGCGGUGUGUCGCGUCGGCCGUGAAAACCUGCAGCUUAACUGUGGGCUUGCGGUCGAUACGGGCAUCACUGGAGUUCGGCAGGGGAGACUGGAAUUCCUGGUGUAGCGGUGAAAUGCGCAGAUAUCAGGAGGAACACCGGUGGCGAAGGCGGGUCUCUGGGCCGAUACUGACGCUGAGGAGCGAAAGCGUGGGGAGCGAACAGG